rnacentral:rRNA from 1 species
UUUUGCUUGCAAACUAAAGAUGGCGACCGGCGCACGGGUGAGUAACACGUAUCCAACCUGCCGAUAACUCGGGGAUAGCCUUUCGAAAGAAAGAUUAAUAUCCGACGGUAUAUUAAAACCGCAUGGUUUUACUAUUAAAGAAUUUCGGUUAUCGAUGGGGAUGCGUUCCAUUAGUUUGUUGGCGGGGUAACGGCCCACCAAGACUACGAUGGAUAGGGGUUCUGAGAGGAAGGUCCCCCACAUUGGAACUGAGACACGGUCCAA